rnacentral:rRNA from 2 species
GCGGUGGAGCAUGUGGUUAAUUCGAAGCAACGCGAAGAACCUUACCAGGUCUUGACAUCCCCUGACAACCCGAGAGAUCGGGCGUUCCCCCGUUCGGGGGACAGGGUGACAGGUGGUGCAUGGUUGUCGUCAGCUCGUGUCGUGAGAUGUUGGGUUAAGUCCCGCAACGAGCGCAACCCUUGUCAUUAGUUGCCAGCAGUUCGGCUGGGCACUCUAGUGAGACUGCCGGGGAUAACUCGGAGGAAGGUGGGGAUGACGUCAAAUCAUCAUGCCCCUUAUGUUCUGGGCUACACACGUGCUACAAUGGCUGGUACAAAGAGAAGCAAGACGGUGACGUGGAGCAAAUCUCAAAAACCAGUCCCAGUUCGGAUUGUAGGCUGCAACUCGCCUACAUGAAGUUGGAGUUGCUAGUAAUCGCGAAUCAGAAUGUCGCGGUGAAUGCGUUCCCGGGUCUU